AUGAACGCUGGCGGCGUGCCUAAUACAUGCAAGUCGAGCGAACGGACGAGAAGCUUGCUUUUCUGAUGUUAGCGGCGGACGGGUGAGUAACACGUGGAUAACCUACCUAUAAGACUGGGAUAACUUCGGGAAACCGGAGCUAAUACCGGAUAAUAUUUUGAACCGCAUGGUUCAAAAGUGAAAGACGGUCUUGCUGUCACUUAUAGAUGGAUCCGCGCUGCAUUAGCUAGUUGGUAAGGUAACGGCUUACCAAGGCAACGAUGCAUAGCCGACCUGAGAGGGUGAUCGGCCACACUGGAACUGAGACACGGUCCAGACUCCUACGGGAGGCAGCAGUAGGGAAUCUUCCGCAAUGGGCGAAAGCCUGACGGAGCAACGCCGCGUGAGUGCUGAAGGUCUUCGGAUCGUAAAACUCUGUUAUUAGGGAAGAACAUAUGUGUAAGUAACUGUGCACAUCUUGACGGUACCUAAUCAGAAAGCCACGGCUAACUACGUG
rnacentral:rRNA from 1 species